rnacentral:tRNA from 1 species
GCGGACGUAGCUCAGGUGGCAGAGCGCAAGAUUGUGGCUCUUGAUGCCGAGGGUUCAAGUCCCUCCGUUCGCC